rfam:Human immunodeficiency virus type 1 subtype E gene for gag polyprotein p17 region, isolate:V116.
GGCCGGGGGGAAAGAACUUAUAUAGGAUGAACCAUUUAGUAUGGGCAAGCAGAGAGUUAGAAAGAUUCGCACUUAACCCUGAAC